CUUUCUUUUUUAAAAUUUUUUUUGUUUCUUAGAUAUGGGCUAGGCGGCCCGAGUGGGCCGAUUGUGACCAUUCCUACGCUUCUCUUCCUCGAUCAGACGAUCACCCGAGAGAAACGGUAAAGGCCGUGGAUCUGGAUACAAAAACCGUCGCCCCGGGCCUAAACCCUUCGGAGUGAUCGCCAUGGCGAAUUCGCCGGUGGAGAAACUCGGGAAAGAAGUUUUGGAUCUCCCAGAUCAACGACGAGAAGCUGUCGCGUUCUCUUGGGCUCUUCGUGGUUCCAUCUUUCUAAUGCGUAACUUUGGCGAACUAAUGGCCAUCUGAAAGUGAUGAGAAGCAUUGUCAAAUCAUCGCUUUCCGUUGGUAACAUGCAAGAAAUGGCAAUGCAUCAUAUCAGUCUACAGUUCACUCUCUCUCUCUCUCCCGCCGCAAACCUUGAUCAGGCUCUUUUUGCUAAGAUAUGCUCAAACUUUGUUCUGUUUCGAGCUACAAUGUGAUUGAUGAACCUAUUUUAUUUUGUUUGUUUUGAAGUGAGGCUAUCCUUCAAGUGUACUAAGAAAUCCUUUGGUAGUAUUGACUGAUUGGCGGCAUCCCACCAAUGAUGUGCCGGAUAAAUGCGGAGCUUAGGGCAUGCUUGUUUUACUGGGGUCGCAAGAGGUGAGGGGUUUCAAGUUCUGGCUGUAGGGACGAAACCACGACUUGGCGCGCUACCCCAACUGUGGACUGGUUCUCACAGCUUGGGGAACUUGUUGGACAAAUACGCCCCGUUGUUUGGUUUGGAGGGUUCGACAAAAUUCAAGAACAAUUUAAAGCUUCCAAGCUUAGACACACUGAAAUGAUGAUAGGUAUUUCAUAUUUUAGGAAAAUGGAUUUUUUGUUGAAACGCAUGAUCUUACAUAAAUAGGCCUUUAGGUGUAGUAAACAGGAUUUGCGGGAUUGAAAUUUUAAUUUCAAAUAUUCUGA